CCUACGGGAGGCAGCAGUGGGGAAUUUUGCGCAAUGGGGGAAACCCUGACGCAGCAACGCCGCGUGAGUGAUGAAGGCCUUCGGGUCGUAAAGCUCUGUCAGAGGGGAAGAAGUGCAGGGGCGCUAAUAUCGCUUUUGCUUGACGGUACCCUCAAAGGAAGCACCGGCUAACUCCGUGCCAGCAGCCGCGGUAAU
rnacentral:rRNA from 1 species